AUGCGGCAGCUUUGGCUCAUCACCAACAUGAGGGCUCAUAAUGACACGUGGUUUGCAGAUUACUUGCUCAGGGUCGGUAAUGGCACAGAGGAAGCCGACGAUCAAGGCAACAUACUACUCCCUGAUGAUAUCUGUCUGCCAUCUACAGGUGAGGUAGAUGACCUGGAGAAGCUGAUUGACCACGUGUUUCCGAGUCUAGAUGACAACAUGGCAGAUUCGAAUUACAUGACAUAUCGCGCAAUCCUUUCCACUACAAAUGACAACGUCGACAAGAUAAACAUCCGCAUGAUAGAG
rnacentral:rRNA from 1 species